AGUGAACGCUGGCGGUAGGCCUAACACAUGCAAGUCGAACGGCAGCACAGUAAGAGCUUGCUCUUACGGGUGGCGAGUGGCGGACGGGUGAGGAAUACAUCGGAAUCUACUUUUUCGUGGGGGAUAACGUAGGGAAACUUACGCUAAUACCGCAUACGACCUACGGGUGAAAGCAGGGGAUCUUCGGACCUUGCGCGAUUGAAUGAGCCGAUGUCGGAUUAGCUAGUUGGCGGGGUAAAGGCCCACCAAGGCGACGAUCCGUAGCUGGUCUGAGAGGAUGGUCGCCCACAUUGGAACUGAGACGCGGUCCAGACUCCUACGGGAGGCAGCAGUGGGGAAUAUUGGACAAUGGGCGCAAGCCUGAUCCAGCCAUACCGCGUGGGUGAAGAAGGCCUUCGGGUUGUAAAGCCCUUUUGUUGGGAAAGAAAAGCAGCAGGUUAAUACCCCGCUGUUCUGACGGUACCCAAAGAAUAAGCACCGGCUAACUUCGUG
rnacentral:rRNA from 1 species